ACACUUUUCUAAUAGAUGUUCUUGUUUUUCUCUUCUCUCCAUUUCCAGACCAAGUUCUUAUCGAGCGACGAGUAAGGAAAACAAAAUUUCGUACACGUAAAAAAGAAAUAGCGCACAUUUGUCGACCGUCUGCUUUGUUCAUUUCAUUGCAAGGAUCAAGCAUUUCGGUCUGACCGUAAAGUUCUCCUCGGACACACAGAAGAUCUUCGUCUACGAGCCUAAUCUUACGAUUGUGGAGGCUUUUGGCUACAUGGGCGGGUACCUAGGAAUGUGGCUUGGAUUCUCGCUGCUCUCAAUUCUUAAGCGCUUGGAGGAGAAGAUCCUCAAUUUCUUCUUCGGAAGCGACAGAGUAACGUCUAUACGGAUUUCAAGGAACGCCGCGAAAGAGGAUCCCAUCCACACAUCACGCCUUCUUAACCGCCACUUUAAAGCGCUGAGGAUGGGUCCGUACUAGAUCGACGUCCAUUGCAAAUUGGUUUUGCAAGAGUAUCAUGUGCUGAGCCCUAGCCCAUGUGCUGAAUAAUCUUACGCAACCCUUCUUUCUCAUUUUCCAUAUACGUUAACCGCCUUUAAGAUGCUUGCAUUAUAGAGUGAUAUAUGUU
rnacentral:lncRNA from 1 species